rnacentral:lncRNA from 1 species
CCUUACUUUCCAUGAGCAUCAAAGAACACGGAGCAGGCAGGACUCAGCCAGCAGAGCAUCCCUGCCUGUGCCGGGAGCCUUGGACCAGCCGGGGCAGGCUGGUGGGACCUGGACGGCCACGGGAUGGCGUCUCGUGGCUUGCAAAGCACAGCACGGUGUUCGGAGAGCAGCGGUGAUGCUGCCUGAAGGGCUCGGAGCUGCACUGACCCUGCAGCUUCUGCUGCUAGAAGCUUCUCAUGUUUUCUUCCUUUUUACUUGCAAGGUAACCUCUUCCUUUCAGAGUCAACAAUAACUUCCCAGAGUCAGGGUUUGGACUUCAUGCAAUAAUCUUAACGCUGAUUUUAUGAAAGUUUCUCUGUGGCUGUAAUGACAAGGCAAUCCCGUGCUAGAGGGGACUUGGAUCAAAUUUACUGACAAUCUGAAGUGAUUGAACAGGCCCUGCUCACAGUGAGAGGGCUUUGAGGAGUACAUUGCACACUGGCUGUUCUCCUAGCCCUGGAGCCUUUCAGGAGCCUGCUGAAAGUGGCACAUUUUGGUUGGGUUUAGGGGAUUGCAGUGCACAAGCUGGGGUUUUUCCCAAGUGCUGAUGCUGCAGUGCUCCCAUCAGAUGCAUGCAGGAAGCAUCUUCCUGUUAUUUCUCUGAGUGGGCACACACUGACCCAGACCCUGGAGAACGUACAGUGGCUUCAGCUCUGAAACCUGCAGCCCACAGGGAAUGUCUGCCUGCACGGAGAGCACCCAGCCAUGGAGCCCUGCCCUGGUGCCCUGUCCAGCUAACUUCAUGUGGCAGCCACUGGAAGUGAGUGCUCUGAGGAACUGGCCCAGAGGAAGCGACUCUGCACUCAUGGCUCAUCAGCCCUGGCAGGAAACAGCAGGUCAAAGAAGGAACUUACUUAAAAGCUAAUGAGUGAGUGGUGCAGCAAGCACUGCGAGAAAGCAAGGCUUGACAGUCAGCAGGGGAGCUUGGGGUUCUCUGUCUCUGUCCUUUUUCCACUUCCUCUCUCCUUGAUCACUUCUGUUUAACCAGAGAGGUGCCAAGGUGAUCUGUCAGAGGAGAGUUUGUAGAUGAGACUGUGCCCUCUCCUGUUCUGAGCACAGCUCCCUCUGGAAAAUGGGGCUGGUGCAGAAAACACACUAUUUAAUGUUCCUCAGUAUGUUUUUAUGAAAUAAAAUUAGAUCCUCAUGACUCUAUAUCUCAGCUUGGCAGAUGUUGUCUUUUUUCAGAUGUGUAAGGUCAGUAGUCGCAAAUGUAGCAGUCUAGAACUGCAGGGUUUGAGCCAUUCUGUGCAGAAAUUGGUACAAUUCAGUGGCAGAAACAGGAAUAUAUAUUGCUUCUGCCAGAUGAUAGCAGUGUUUUUUCCCUAGGUAGGCUUUGGGAAGCCCUCCUUGGUGCACUUUCCAAAGGGCACAAGGUCACAUCACAGGCAGACUUACAUUUUGGAGUGUAUUUGUCUCUGUGCCAUGAGUUGGGCCGGGUUUUUUUUACUCCUCCUUUAGUAUUGGAAUUGAAAAUUCAAGUUGGAGAAAUGUGAAAGCAAUUGGGCCUAAUCCAUUCCUGUUGUUACUCCUUUUGUUUUCACUGGAGUUACUCCAAGGCUGAAUUCAGCAUAUGAUGAACAACUUGUUCUCCAAAGCUGGAACUUAGGGGAGAAGGUUUUAGGGAUGAUCACGCAACUCUGGGGCUCCUUCUCAAACAGCUGAAGCUCCCACAAGAGGGACAAUAUUUGGUGAGUUCAGAUUAUUGAAUUUAUUAUAGUGUUCUAGUAAUAAG